UGAGGAAUAUUGGUCAAUGGGCGCGAGCCUGAACCAGCCAAGUAGCGUGCAGGAAGACGGCCCUAUGGGUUGUAAACUGCUUUUAUGCGGGGAUAAAGGAGUCCACGUGUGGAUUUUUGCAGGUACCGCAUGAAUAAGGACCGGCUAAUUCCGUGCCAGCAGCCGCGGUAAUACGGAAGGUCCGGGCGUUAUCCGGAUUUAUUGGGUUUAAAGGGAGCGUAGGCCGCGUUUUAAGCGUGUUGUGAAAUGUAGACGCCCAACGUCUGCAUCGCAGCGCGAACUGGGACGCUUGAGUACGCGCAACGUUGGCGGAAUUCGUCGUGUAGCGGUGAAAUGCUUAGAUAUGACGAGGAACUCCGAUUGCGAAGGCAGCUGACGGGAGCGGCACUGACGCUUAAGCUCGAAGGUGCGGGUAUCAAACAGG
rnacentral:rRNA from 2 species